AAUACUGUAAAAGGCGUGGUGAUGUGCAGUGGCGCUGUUUUCAGAGCUGCAGCGCUUUAGAGGGGCGUGUUUAUUAGCUCUAUCAGUCAUAUCCACCUUGUGUUCUCCUCAGUGCUGUAUUUUAGAUUAUGGCUGAAAUAUCUGGUUGUGGAAGUUAAAUUCAUUACAGUGAAUGAGGUUUUAGGGUGGGUGUAUGUUUCACUUCACUGUUGUGGGGCAGUAAACAGAAAACAUUCUCAAGAGCAGUUCCAGAAGGAGACACCAAAGAAAAGAAGAGGAACAGAGACUGGUGAAAGGGGAGAGGGGUGAGUGAGUGAGAGAGAUAACGACAGCAACUUUAAUCUGACGCCGUUACAAACGGAGAGAAGAGCUCAGACAUCAGCGCUUUGGAUUCACUCGGGAGUUCUUCCUUGCUGCUGUCGCCAUUGGAUUCCUCAUGGGAGCUUGGACCAGGAUUUUUUUUGCAAAGCUGCUUCGCGACAACAUUUGUUGUAAAAUGCACUUUAUAAAUAAACUUUGACGGGGCACCUUAAAGCAGAUGAGAAGAAAGUCCUCCAUGAAGUGUAGAAGUGAAGGAUCUUUAUGAAUCUUCUGGUAAACAAUUUGGAGAGAAACAGCCAGAAAUUACUGUUUGUUAGCUAGGUUAGCUAGUUACGUAAAUACAAGUUAGCAUACCCAAGCUGCACAUCCACGGUGGUAUAAAAAUCUAUAAAAUACCUGCUGUAAGUUACAGCUGGAGAGCUCUGUCAGU